CCUGGAAUCUUCAUUCACAGCUGAGAACUUCUCAUUGGCUGCCUGCUGCCUGACCUCCCUAUCCUGGUUUGCGUGGGGAGUGGAGCUGUCCUUCCCCACAUGAGCCCUGCUUCAUGGGACCCACCGCUCCUCUGGCUCCUGUGAGAGCAGCUGCAGGGACAGAUGCUCAGGGUUUGUCUCAUUUAGAAGCUUCACCAUUUUCUGUUCUGUCUCUUGCUGCAUCGCUGUCGUGAGGAUUCUGUUCUCGUGUUUUCACUGUGCAGGUGAUCCUGGCCGUCUGUCCCAAGGCCACAGAGACUGACUGUGGUUGACUCAGCUCAGCAGUGACCACUGAACCUGCAAGAGGAGAGAAGAGAGGGCUGAUUCCCCUGGAUGUGACAAUUGUCAUGGCAGCUGUUAAAGUAUGCACCUAAGGAACCCCUGACACGACAUUUUGCUGGAGGCUGGUCCGCGGCAAUCCUGGACAUCUAUUGGGAUACAGAAAAAUGCAUCCUUCAGGUCUAAUACCGAAAACUACCCAAAGUCACCAGGUCCAACAUCGCCAUUCCUCCAUUGUUGGGGUCCCAUCCAGGAUCUACCUCUGGGACAACAAUCUCUGGCUCUGAGAAUUGUCUAUCCUGUUGGUGGAGAUGGUCACCCUCCUUCCUGGCUUUCCUGACUACCAUCCUCCACUCAUCUAGACGUAAUAAAAUAUGUAACAUUGGCUGUAUAGCUGCCCAUUUAGGGCAAUGGGAGACAAAGAUAGAAGCAAACAAGGUUGCCAUCCUCUUAGGUGAUCCUUCCUGCCAAAAUGGGUGCUGCUUCUAGUGUGGGGAGGAGACGCCAUUUUAGUUUCCUCCCCGGAGAGCAAUGGAGGCCAUGAAGCCUCAGGAGUCUGCACGGGAAGGGACUCGGGAGGGGCUUCAUCACUUGGAGAAGGACUUUGUCCUGAUGUAUUUAAGGUAUUUAGCAAAUGAUACUCCUCCUCUUUUAACUCCGCCCUCUUGCAGUCCUCAUGGGAAGGAGAAGGUUUAUCUCUUCUCUGUGCCAUCAGCUGAGCCUCUGCCAUAUCCAAUUUAUGGAGGGCGGCCUGUAUCUGGUCCUUUAUACUUUUAAAAGCUUGAUCCUGAAUACUUUUAAAAGCUGACUAAAAAACAUUAUGUUUUUCAUCCCUCACACUCUUAAUAAUUAAAUCAAAAGUCUGAUUUUGUUGUUGCACUUGAUCCUGCAUGCUUUUAAAAGCUGACUCAAAAACAUUAUGGUUUUCAUCCCUCACAUUCUUAAUAGUUAAAGCAAAAGCCUGAUUGUGUUGUUGCAUAGCUAAGAGUUUGAAUUGGUUGCAGCAAAUUCUCGGUAUGUGAAGUAGAACAUCUACCUCUCAUAGAAAUAAGAAUGUAGCAAAUGGCGCCUGCACACAUACCAAUAAAACAUCCAGAAGCACAGACUGUAAAGGGAUGGCUUGUAAACUGCCCACAUAUGUAUACAGAAGUAAAAUCAUGUGUCAUAUGCCAUAUUUACAUUUAUAAAACUGGUGGUAAUAUUUAACAGAAAAAGACUACUUAAACUCAAGGCCAGAAAAAAAAAUGAAAGAACUGAAGUUAGGGAUAAAACUGCUUAAGCUCAUGGUUGAGGCCAUGUUUGCGUCAAAAACACACCCACAAGAGCCGUACACAUGGGAGAAAAAAAGCAGACUUUUCAAGAUGUGAAACAAAGAUUUUCACUGGGUGUCCUGCAGACCUAGUGCACUUAUGGUGACCAAUGCAAGGAAAGUUACUUUGAGCUGGUCAACCAUGGGUGUAGCUUGGAAACCACGUUGGGUGCCAAACUGUUACGGAACAGCCCCAAUAUAAAAUGGGUUGCCUGGCUGUGGGUCCUCACCCGUGCACUUGAAAGGACUUAUUAAUACUCCACUACAGGCACACACAAAAGGUUAAUAAAAGGUUUUAUUUAUAAGGGAAAGGGAAAUGAGGAAAUGUACAACUUGGGGAGAAAAUAGGGAAAUAAAGUCUUUAAUGUGUCCUACCCAAUCCGCUGACCUGGAAACCCAAUGGCACUCUGAGAGCUGGUGGAGGCUGGGAGCUGGCAGAGAGCCAAAAAGGGAACCUCCCAAAGCCCACGUGUCUGGUUUUUAUACCAAACUGGCUGCUUAAUCCCACCCUCAGGAUCCAGCAACCUUCCCUUUGGUGGUCAUGGGAUUUGUCUUUCCCACUGUCCUGAUGGCUUUGGUCUGGACUGGGGGUGGAGUCCACAAAGCCUGUAUGGAAUUAGCUUUCCCCCUAACAAUCCAACAGCACAGUCUCUCGUGCUCUUCCCUCCCUGGUUUGGACCCUCUCCCUGGCACUCUUGUUCAUCAGCUUCUUAAUAAAUGUGACUGGCAAUUACCAGACACACCAUUUAGUUCAUAAAAGGGAAACAUGUUCACAGCAAAGACCUAUACAGCAAUGUCCACAACACUCUGCCCAUAAGACACCCCAGUUGUCCCUCAUGGGGUGGUGGUUAAACAAACAUUCCUACAACAGAGACAUGGAAUAUUAAAUUACUAAGCCAUGAAAAAGAAUGAAUUAUUAUUACAAUAAUUAUGGUGAUGUUACAGCAAUCAUCUAAGAGAAAUGCCAUUCCCAAAUGUAGCAUAUUAUCUGAUUCAAUUGUUUAUUUCUAUAUAUAAUUAUAAAAGAUUGGAAAUGGAGAAAAAUCAGAGGAUGUUAGGGCUCAGAGGCACAGGAAGGGACCCAUAGGUAGAAGUGGAUGUUUUUAUGAAAGGGCAACAAGGGUGGAUGCUCAUGGUGAUGAGGCUGUGGGGUCACUACUGGGGGGGAAACAUGAGCCUGUCAAGUGAUAACAUCACAGAGAACUGAAGACACACCCACAUCAAUGAAUACAAGCAAACCAGGUCAAUUUCAACUUCAAAAUUGAGCAAAUGCUUAAGCAAACACCUUGCCAAUCAAGAUACACAGACAACAAGCACUUGAAUAGAUAUCACAAGUCAGUAUAACAGUGAAUAUUCAAAACAUAAUGAGGUGUCAUGACAGGCCUAAGAGAAUGGUUUUAGAGAAAAAAAAAAAUCUGAAAGUUUCUAGCAAGACUGAGAAUGCUGCCAGGGCCAUGCUACUCAUGUCCUCUGAUAAAGGUCUGGGCAGGGGGCAGAUUCCUGAAGUCAGGAAUCUCAUUAGCUAACUCCUGCUAGAUUCUUCCCAUUUGUUUAUGGCUGGCUUCUACUGAAUGUGGCAAUUGUUAAUAUAUGCAUUUAGAAGUAAAACUGCAAAUGUGGCAUGACAAAAUAUUAAAUAACUAAUUUGGCAACAAUGACACUGCAUAAUAUAAAUAGUACAUUUUGACACAAUUAGUAUUUUUCUGCUGAAGGCAGUGAUUCAGAAUUUGGCUUCAUUGUAACAAGUGAUAUGCUACACUUACACUGUUCUGGAAACUAAAGGCUGUAAACAUUCCCCGCCAAGUCCUUGAUGUACAAUUGUGGUCUUUUAAGACAGAGACCCUCUGGAGAGGAAUUUUAAAGUUAGAGAGAGCAGUUAAAGUUAGAAACAGUAGUUAAUUGUCAACAUAAUCAGGAAAGUAACAGAUGAAAACAUAGCUUGAAAGAGUAAAAUGAAUUUCCCUUUUCUUUUUUUUUUUUUCUUUUGAAGCUUGGGUUAUGUAAGGGUGAGUGCAACUUAUGCAGCACUGGGAUUUUAAUUUUAAUUUUAAUUUUAAUUUUUUCUACUUUUCUUAAAUUAAAAUAGAUUAGUUAUAU